rnacentral:lncRNA from 1 species
GGUUGUCACCACAGCAAGACUACCAGUUAGGGGACUGUAGCUCAGAGGGUCCCUGGAGAACAGGACCAACGAUGUCUUUUCAUCUAAGAACGGAAGAACAGCGUCUUUUCACCGAAGAACAAACGACUGGGGAGGUGGAGGUAGAUGCGCAGCGUUGGUCUCCUCAGUUACAGACUCGAGGUUGUGGGCGACUUUGGAGUCACAGAUAUUAGUUGUCACCAAGGUUCCUUGUCUCAGCGACGAGGGACUGCCUUAGACGUCAGGAUGAGGAGGCUUCAAGCUGGGUCCUUUUAUCCUGGUAGAAGGGAAACCCAGGCAUCGGGUUCUGCAGUGGUCAGCGCUGGCUCAGUCCGACCCCGUGAGAAUCGCCUUGUCCCUUUUGUCGCCGUUAAGUGCCAGACAAAUGUGGUCGAGUGUUUUCUUCAGUGUAUAUCCCCAGUGUUGUGGCUGGCGCCAUGUCCUCGAAUCUCCAGAACUGAGUGCUAAGUAAUCACAUUUUCUUUAUAAAGUUAGCCUGCCAUGCUGAAUUCCAUGGUUGAAAAUAAAAAGCACACUCAAACACCUUCU